GACGAACGCUGGCGGCGUGCUUAACACAUGCAAGUCGAACGGAAAGGCCCUGCUUUUGUGGGGUGCUCGAGUGGCGAACGGGUGAGUAACACGUGAGUAACCUGCCCUUGACUUUGGGAUAACUUCAGGAAACUGGGGCUAAUACCGGAUAGGAGCUCCUGCUGCAUGGUGGGGGUUGGAAAGUUUCGGCGGUUGGGGAUGGACUCGCGGCUUAUCAGCUUGUUGGUGGGGUAGUGGCUUACCAAGGCUUUGACGGGUAGCCGGCCUGAGAGGGUGACCGGCCACAUUGGGACUGAGAUACGGAGCAGACUGCUACGGGAGGCAGCAGUGGGGAAUAUUGCACAAUGGGCGGAAGCCUGAUGCAGCAACGCCGCGUGCGGGAUGACGGCCUUCGGGUUGUAAACCGCUUUCGCCUGUGACGAAGCGUGAGUGACGGUAAUGGGUAAAGAAGCACCGGCUAACUACGUG
rnacentral:rRNA from 1 species